rnacentral:rRNA from 1 species
AGGUUACUGCUAUCGGUGUUCGCCUAAGCCAUGCGAGUCAUAUGUUCGUAAGAACAUGGCGUACUGCUCAGUAACACGUGGAUAACCUGCCCUUGGGUCCGGCAUAACCCCGGGAAACUGGGGAUAAUUCCGGAUAACGCACAUAUGCUGGAAUGCUUUAUGCGUAAAAUGGAUUCGUCUGCCCAAGGAUGGGUCUGCGGCCUAUCAGGUAGUAGUGGGUGUAAUGUACCUACUAGCCUACGACGGGUACGGGUUGUGAGAGCAAGAGCCCGGAGAUGGAUUCUGAGACAUGAAUCCAGGCCCUACGGGGCGCAGCAGGCGCGAAAACUUUACAAUGCGGGAAACCGUGAUAAGGGGACACCGAGUGCCAGCAUCCUAUGCUGGCUGUCCGGGUGUGUAAAAUACACCUGUUAGCAAGGGCCGGGCAAGACCGGUGCCAGCCGCCGCGGUAACACCGGCGGCCCGAGUGGUGAUCGUGAUUAUUGGGUCUAAAGGGUCCGUAGCCGGUUUGGUCAGUCCUCCGGGAAAUCUGACAGCUUAACUGUUAGGCUUUCGGAGGAUUCUGCCAGACUUGGAACCGGGAGAGGUAAGAGGUACUACAGGGGUAGGAGUGAAAUCUUGUAAUCCCUGUGGGACCACCUGUGGCGAAGGCGUCUUACCAGAACGGGUUCGACGGUGAGGGACGAAAGCUGGGGGCACGAACCGGAUUAGAUACCCGGGUAGUCCCAGCCGUAAACGAUGCUCGCUAGGUGUCAGGCAUGGCGCGACCGUGUCUGGUGCCGCAGGGAAGCCGUGAAGCGAGCCACCUGGGAAGUACGGCCGCAAGGCUGAAACUUAA